CAAAAUUAUUCUCUCAACUGUUUGCAGAUGUGAGGAUAAGGGCUUACAGAGUCACAGACACUAAAUGCUCUCCUGGGAUCCAGGAAAAUAUAGGAACAUAGCUGGAUCCAGGCUGGAUAUUUUCUUUGGUCAGAGGAAAUAAUUGUCACACCAUGGGGCUAGAAUUACUCAUUAGAACUAACAAGAGACAACGGCCCUGUUGGCUUCCCUACCAAGUACACAUAUAAUGGAGAACUGCUCCUUCCUCUCUAUCACCACAGGAUGUGGUUUGAGAUAUUCAGUUUUAAUCUUACUCUGAUGCAUGAAGUUAGUACAAAUUCUGCCCUCAGCCCUCUCAAGUAUUAACAACACUAAUGAAAUUACUCAGGGGCUGUCAUUUUUCAUCCUGAUAUUCUUAUGUUGCUGAUCUGCAUUGCAGUACUUUUCUUUGCUCCCAAUGACUCAAGCUAUGCUUUGUAGUUCUAAGACUAUUCAGGAAUGACCUGAAGGCUCAAUCAAACCAGAAUCAGCAGGGUACUGACCUUUACACCCUGGGAAAAGGAGAAGCUGAAAUUAAUCUUCAAAACAAGUUUCCUUCUUUAACACAGAGAACCAGUGGGGAAAUUAUUUGUGGUUGUUAAGGGAGCUUAGUUAACUCUAACCAGAGCUCUCUUCUGAGCACAUCCUCAGCAUAGCAAGCCAUGAACUUGGAAGUCAGUUUAAGAGAACUUCAGCAGGAACCAGCACUCACAGAAAGCUGAUUUCAAGACUACUGACAGACACACAAGACCACAGUAAUCAGUUCAAAUAGUAUAAAACAAGACUGAUAAAAAUCGUUCAAGGGUGGGAAAUGGUUAUUCUAGAUGGGUCAUGGAGACUUUCCUACUCCAGUUUCAUAAGCCUCCCAUUUCCAAGAGUGCAAGAGUGAUGAUGGAGCUGUGCUGUUCCCAUUUUCUGGGCAAGGAAGCAGUAGUUACUGAACCUGGAAAAAGAAUGUAACUUUUGACUUCAGCAUCACUUCAGUCAUGUAUCUUCAUUCUCAUAUCUAGUCCUUCUGAUUUUGCAAGGAUCUAUGAUGCAAGAGGCCCUAGAAAAGCUAAUAGCUGAUGCAGAAUUUGCCCAUUAGACCUCAGAAUUUUUGUAGCACAUUUUUUGUAUGCAGCACAUCAAUUGAAGAAUAGAAAAUAAAUUAAGAAUGUGCUCAAGAAUAGGAUUGACAGUGAGAAUAGGCUACAGUGGGAUGUAAAAAGGAAAAAGAAUAAAAUGACUGGAGAACUAAGGGAAAAAUGACAAAUAAAUCCAUUAGAGGAGGUCACAUGCCUGAACACUGGAGCUUUCCCAGGAUUUUUAUUCAAAUAAUUAGAGAAACUCCCCAAAGCAGAGAGAGGGAGAAACUUCUCAGUAAAGAAGUUUCUGUAGUACAUGCCAAAGUGCACACAGUCCUGCCAUUGUUCAGCACAUUGUGUGCCCUGCUGUGCUUUAUGCCAGAAUGCUGUGAAGAAAAUAUUUAUCUCUCUUUCAGAAACACUCAUCCACUGUUUGGCACUAACAUACUCUGCCUUGAUUUUAUCAUAGGUCCUCUACACAGGAGAUUUUGGUUUUGCCCAGACACCUACUAUCAGCCCCCCUCACCAUCUCAUAAACACAUCUCUGAAGACUGAAAUAGCUGUGGUAGAAUCAGCUCUGCAGACAUCCUGGAGUACUCAUGGUCAAAAGACAGCAGAAAUCAUGUGAUGGCCAAGCAGAUCUUUCUGCAGGGGGACCACGCCUAGCAAAUGGAUUACUGCUCCCAGUCAGAGUACACACUCCCCAUGCUUAGCCCAGCUGAUCUCUGAGUUUCUGACCAGAAGAUUUUAAAUACUGGGUGGAACAUGAGCCAAGAAGUAGUUUGACACCUCACAACAAAAGCAGCAAAGUAAUAAAGUAUUUUAACUAUAACUUAUUCAUCGCUAACAAUAUUUUUUUAUUUACAAGGUAACCUGAAAGUAGAGGAACUUGCUGUGUUACCUAAAAAAGCAGAAAGGAAAAGAUAUUACCACAUUAUAUCUUCUAUCUGUUUAGACAUAGAAGGACAUCUUCACAUGACAUUUAGAACCAAUAUGAUAUCUGUUUGUCCAAAGUAGGCCAUGGAAUUCUGCAGCCCAUUCCUCAGGCGCAUCUUGCUGAGAGUGCCUGAGCUGCAGGACACCACUCCAAAGGUGACCUACUGUGAAAUCUGUAUCCAAAUGAAUACAAAAAGUAUUUGUUUAUUAAAAUAUGUUGUAGCAGUUUUCAAAAAGUGACCUAGGGAGAAUUACAGCAGUAGAAAAAUUAUUUGUUUUAGUUACUGCUCAGUUUGGUAUAUUAUGCAUCAACCUAGGGCUUCUUUUGCCAAGGAUUUUAAAUUGUUUUAGAGAAAAAUGGAAUGAAUAAAAUAAUAUCUAUUACCUAUACCGAA